rnacentral:rRNA from 1 species
AUUGAACGCUGGCGGCAGGCUUAACACAUGCAAGUCGAGCGGAGAGGGGUAGCUUGCUACUGAUCUUAGCGGCGGACGGGUGAGUAAUGCUUAGGAAUCUGCCUAUUAGUGGGGGACAACAUUUCGAAAGGAAUGCUAAUACCGCAUACGUCCUACGGGAGAAAGCAGGGGAUCUUCGGACCUUGCGCUAAUAGAUGAGCCUAAGUCGGAUUAGCUAGUUGGUGGGGUAAAGGCCUACCAAGGCGGCGAUCUGUAGCGGGUCUGAGAGGAUGAUCCGCCAAACUGGGGCUGAGACACGGCCCAGACUCCUACGGGAGGAAGCAGUGGGGAAUAUUGGACAAUGGGCGGAAGCCUGAUCCAGCCAUGCCGCGUGUGUGAAGAAGGCCUUAAGGUUGUAAAGCACUUUAAGCGAGGAGGAGGCUACUUUAGUUAAUACCUAGAGAUAGUGGACGUUACUCGCAGAAUAAGCACCGGCUAACUCUGUGCCAGCAGCCGCCGUAACAC